rnacentral:rRNA from 1 species
AGGCAGAGGUGAGGAAUAUUGGUCAAUGGGCGAGAGCCUGAACCAGCCAAGUCGCGUGAAGGAAGAAGGAUCUAUGGUUCGUAAACUUCUUUUGCAGGGGAGAAAAGAGCUGGACGAGUAGCGUUUUGUAAGUACCGAUUGUAAA